rnacentral:ribozyme from 13 species
CUUGUCUCUUUCUCAUUCUUCUUUUCUCUCUUCUUUUCAUUCUCCUCUUUCUCCUCCAAAAACACAUCUUUCUUCUCAUCCUGGAAACUCUCGCUCUGUCAAAUUAACCACGAAAGGGAAAGGGUCAGGAUCUCAUAUUAGCAAAACAAAUAAAAAGAGAGAGAAUCUU